rnacentral:rRNA from 1 species
UACCAGCACCCCGAGUGGUCGGGACGUUUAUUGGGCCUAAAGCAUCCGUAGCCGGUUCUACGAGUCUUCCGUUAAAUCCAACUGCUUAACAGGUGGGCUGCGGAAGAUACUAUAGAGCUAGGAGGCGGGAGAGGCAAGCGGUACUCGAUGGGUAGGGGUAAAAUCCGUUGAUCCAUUGAAGACCACCAGUGGCGAAGGCGGCUUGCCAGAACGCGCUCGACGGUGAGGGAUGAAAGCUGGGGGAGCAAACAGG